rnacentral:rRNA from 1 species
AUUUAACCAGAAAGUCACGGCUAACUACGUGCCAGCAGCCGCGGUAAUACGUAGGUGGCAAGCGUUAUCCGGAUUUAUUGGGGCGUAAAGAGAGUGCAGGCGGUUUUCUAAGUCUGAUGUGAAAGCCUUCGGCUUAAACCGGAGAAGUGCAUCGGAAACUGGAUAACUUGAGUGCAAGAAGAGGGUAGUGGAACUCCAUGUGUAGCGGUGGAAUGCGUAGAUAUAUGGAAGAACACCAGUGGCGAAGGCGGCUACCUGGUCUGCAACUGACGCUGAGACUCGAAAGCAUGGGUACGCGAACAGGAUUAGACUACCCUGGUAG